rnacentral:rRNA from 1 species
AUGGUACUUGACCUCAUAUGUUCUCUAUCGAGUGAAGAAAACUUCGUUACUAUAUGGGAUGGCUCUAAGAAAAACAAGAACAAUUCAGAUAUAAUGGUCAGGUUAUCCUUUCAAAAUAGCAUGUCAGACCUCACCACUCAUCGGGUUGAUGCCACAAGUAUGUCAAAGUUGAGGUCUGUUACUCUGUUUAGAACUGAUGAUGAUCUGAUCCGGUCUCUUUCAAGCCUCCAACUGCUGCGUGUGUUGGACUUAUCACGUUGUGAUCUUCGGAGAAGUAGCUGCCAAAUUGAUCUUAGGUGUGUUGAGAAAUUAUUACACCCGAGGUACCUAGGGCUACUAGAUACACUGGUUGACCCUCUCUCCAUUGAAAUAGGAAAACUUCAACUUUUGCAAACAUUGGACAGCGGAACGGGUGAGGUGCCAUCAAGUGUUGUUCGGCUUGGAAAGUUGAUGUGCCUAUAUGUUUAUUCAAGCAUGAUAUUGCCGGUUGGGAUAGAGAACUUGGUGUCCUUAGAAGAGUUGAGUGUUGUGACAUUGGAUGGUAAUAAUGCCAUUGAGAAAGAGCUAGGGAAGCUGGUGGAGCUGAGGGUGCUUCGCAUUUCAUGGGAGGGAGACGACGAGAGUGUGUGUAAUUCUUUGUUGAUGUCCUUGGCCAAUUUGCAGAAAUUGCGUACCCUAGAGAUUUAUCAAUAUGGGGAUGCAAGUUUCGAUGCCAGCUGGGACAGCUGGGUGCCCCCUCCACACCUCCAAGCCCUUUGGUUUGAUAGUUGUACCUCAACAUUGCCUAGAUGGAUUAAUUCAUCAUUGCUUCCCGUCCUCUCCCACAUGUUUAUAAAGGUGGACAUGGUGAUGCCGGAGGUCGACAUUCAGAUCCUUGGGAAAUUGCCCGCUCUUUGUUUUCUCAACAUGUCUACAUGGAGAGCCCAGUACACUACUAUCGAAUGGUUCAUCGUUGGCGAUGAUGCAUUCCCUUGCCUGAGAGAGUGUAUGCUCUAUAAUUUCCAGACGGGGCCAUCUAUGUUUCCACAAGGAUCUAUGCCCGGGCUUGAAUAUAUUUACUUCUGUGCCCGAGCAUCGCACAUCACCGGUGGUGACUUGGAUGUCGACGUGCGGCACCUCCCUUCUCUACAGAAGGUCACGGUUCAUCUUUGGUCUGAGCAACACUGCUUGCCAGCAGUACAGAAAGUGGCUGAUAUGUUGGAGCUCACAUUGGACGCCCAUCCUAACCAGCCCACCCUUCAUUGCCAGCGGAUUUGUUUACCUGAAUAA